ensembl:snRNA U6 U6 spliceosomal RNA
GCUUGCUUCAGCCAACAUAUACUAAAAUUGGAAUGAUAUAGAAAUUAGCAUGGCCCCUGCACAACGAUUACAUGCAAAUUUGUGAUGUGCUCCAUAUGUUU